ACAGAAGCCCAACUGAGAGGGAUCCUAAGUCAUCCUGUGAAACAGAACAGCUCUCAGAUUUCUCCACUGGCAUGAAGGUGAAGGAUCUGGCUCGGAUGUUUUUAGCUGCCACAACCCAGGACACAGCAGUCCGACCAAGGAGAAACACAGAGACAUGAAAAUUGGCAUAGGUGGUAGAUCGACUGUAAAUCUUAUUUUUCAUGUCAUCAGUUUUUUACCCCAUCUGUGUUUCCAUUUUUCUUUAGACGAUCACAGAAACA